UAAACGUCUCAGUUCGGAUUGUAGUCUGCAACUCGACUACAUGAAGCUGGAAUCGCUAGUAAUCGCGAAUCAGAAUGUCGCGGUGAAUACGUUCCCGGGUCUUGUACACACCGCCCGUCACACCAUGGGAGUCAGCAACGCCCGAAGCCGGUGACCCAACCGAAAGGAGGGAGCCGUCGAAGGUGGGGCCGAUAACUGGGGUGAAGUCGUAACAAGGUAAC
rnacentral:rRNA from 1 species